GAUGAACGCUGGCGGCGUGCCUAAUACAUGCAAGUCGAGCGAACGGACGAGAAGCUUGCUUCUCUGAUGUUAGCGGCGGACGGGUGAGUAACACGUGGAUAACCUACCUAUAAGACUGGGAUAACUUCGGGAAACCGGAGCUAAUACCGGAUAAUAUUUUGAACCGCAUGGUUCAAAAGUGAAAGACGGUCUUGCUGUCACUUAUAGAUGGAUCCGCGCUGCAUUAGCUAGUUGGUAAGGUAACGGCUUACCAAGGCAACGAUGCAUAGCCGACCUGAGAGGGGGAUCGGCCACACAGGAACUGAGACACGGCCCAGACUCCUACGGGAGGCAGCAGUAGGGAAUCUUCCGAAAUGGGCGAAAGCCUGACGGAGCAACGCCGCGUGAGUGAUGAAGGUCUUCGGAUCGUAAAACUCUGUUAUUAGGGAAGAACAUAUGUGUAAGUAACUGUGCACAUCUUGACGGUACCGAAGCAGAAAGCCACGGCUAACUACGU
rnacentral:rRNA from 1 species